GCAGCACCGUCGGCGACGGCACAGCUGUCGACGGCGGCAGUCGUGGAGAUGUUGAGGUCCAGGUUCACGCUCUGCUCCCGGGGUCUGACCCAGCUCUUCUUCAGCGUCUUCCUGUUGAGGUUGCUUGGCGUGUGUGAAGGGAUUGAUUACUUCUAAUACCCAGAUCCUGUACCUGCGGCAUCAACAAGUACUCUGGGACCAUGCUGACGUGUCAACUAGUUUGGUGCAGAUGCAUUUGAUUCUUUUUAUUGUCCCUUCUUAUGGGAUCUGUUAAAUGGAGUGUGUAAGUUUUGAUCAAGGGCUUGUUUAGUUCCAAAACUUUUUAUAAAAUAGGAAUAGUACCACUUU